CACACCACACAUAGUUCCAUCAGCGAUCGGCAGUGUUUGCUUGGUGAGAGCAAAAGAGCGUAACAUUGGCGCGUGUCUCAAGUUGAGACGCGGCAAGAGGGAUGGAAACUGUUGCUGAGACGUUUUUUUCCUCUCUAUUGUCCAUGCACCAAAAAAUGCCAACAACAACACACAAAGAGCUGUUUGGAUGUUUUUUUGUUGCUGAGACGUUGCUUCUUACUAAUGUUCAUGCAUACAUACAUACAUGCGUUUUUCGCAUACACACCGAUUUGCUUGAUGAGAACAAAAGAGCGUAACAUUUGCGCGUGUCUCAUGUUGGCAUUCUGGUUGUGUUCUUUUUUUAUACUUUUUAUUUGUUUUGUGCCUUCGCGUCGUGUCACAAGUGUUGUAAUAAAUGUUGAUACCAACUGUUUUGGGGGAAGACUAAUUAUUUGUCGAAGCGCCGGAGCCUUUAAAUCUACAAAGCUUUAUAAAAGCAGCCAAAUUAGAGUUAAAAAUUGAUGCCUCAAGAAAAAUAACAGCCUUAGUGUUUGGUGCAACCAUUAAAGAAGACCAGUUUGAAAAAGUAAUUCAUCAAUAUAUGUCAACACCUACUUUUCAUAUUGAGUUGCAAUUUGGAGACUCCGUUCGAUCAGUGGCAUCAGCAUCGACAGUUAGUGGCACUCUAUCGGAGUGUGAAUCCGUAGGUGGUUUUGGGGAUCUUACCCCAAAAACAAAUGUUAUUUCAACUUUAAAGACUGACAUAGAGUCCAUCAAGUCAAUUCCGGCUGUCAACAAAAUAUGGAGAAUUUUUAUUGCCGAAAAACGCCUGCAAAAUAAAGAUAGGGUGAAUAUUUCGAAGGCCCUUAUUGACGAAUGUCUAAAAGAAGACCCUAACAGAUUGUAAGUAUUUUACUUUAUUGAAAAAAUAGUGA